rnacentral:rRNA from 1 species
UACGAAGGGGGCUAGCGUUGUUCGGAAUUACUGGGCGUAAAGCGCGCGCAGGCGGCUAUCCAAGUCAGUGGUGAAAGCCCGGAGCUCAACUCCGGAACUGCCAUUGAAACUGCUUAGCUUGAGGACGAGAGAGGUGAGUGGAAUUCCCAGUGUAGAGGUGAAAUUCGUAGAUAUUGGGAAGAACACCGGUGGCGAAGGCGGCUCACUGGCUCGUAUCUGACGCUCAGGCGCGACAGCGUGGGGAUCAAACAGG